rnacentral:lncRNA from 1 species
UGAGAUCACUCCACUGCACUCCAGCCUGGGCAAAAGAACGAGACUCAUCUCAAAAACAGAAAGAAAAAAAAUAAAGGAAGAAUAAUCAAAAUUGGUUUUUGUAAUCACAGGUUUUUUUCUUUUCUUCUUUUUUUUAAUGUUAGUUUCUUAUUAUAAAAGUAACAUAGGUUUGUUUUCAUAACAUCACAGGGUUUCCUCUCUUAACCUUGCAGACUUCAGCAGAUGCUUCCUCCUAGGAAAGUGUUUGUCCUGGGACCUGUGCGGAGACCAAGGGGGUUGGAAGGAGAAGGAGCUGGCUUGGGAGGUUUUGUCUGCUGGGCAGGCACUGACCUCCUCUUCAGGUGCUGCCUGACAUAUGAAAAUGAAUGGAGGGGAGUUUGACUCUAAAGUCAGCCUCAGGCUUUGGGCACUGUAUGGCUCCAUCUGCACCAAGCACCAUAGUGAAUGUGGGAAGUUAAUGCAGAUGAAUUACCGAGAAGUGGCUCUAGUGUGCUCCAGUCAGUGGUCUGAGCUAUUUUAGUUGUUUUAGUGAUUGAAUCAAAUGACCCCAUUUGCUUGCAUUGUUUGAUUGCUGGUUAGUCUGGAAACUGUCAAUUUUAUAUUAACAAGUCUUAACAGGAACUAUGGUAAUAGGCAAACCAAAUGGAUAUAAUACUUUUUUUUUUCUCUUUUACUUUCCAAACUAUUUUAUUUAAAAAAAACCUGCAGUGCAGUAUUAAAAAGCAAUACAUUCAGCAGGAGUGACAACCAACAGAAACAAAGGGAGGAGGGUACAGAAUACCAGGGACCCUACCUCAACUGAUCCCCAGGUCUGGAGGCCAGGGGCAGAC